CAACUGCCAAGCUUGUUCCAUGUCCUGUUCCAGACUUUCUGGAGCAGAGCCUACAAGUCUCCAUCAUUGCCUUAGACCUUCUAGGAACAUCAGAAUCUGGCAGGCAGAUGACCCCAUGGGGGAAAAAAUGCAAAUACUGAACUCCAGUUACAAACAGAUAAUUGCCAAUCUUCUCUUUACCUCUGACUGGGCCACAUCUGCAGAGGAUUUUCAUUAUUACGAUCUGGGAUUUCAAGGAUCUGUUAUGUCAUUAACUGUCCCCAUUCAAUUCUCUGAAUAAAUUCUGCUCACAUA
rnacentral:lncRNA from 1 species